UACGGGGGGUGCAAACGGUUGCUCGGAAUUAUUGGGCGUGAAAGCAGCACGUAGGCGGUCUGUUAAGUCGGGUGUGAAAGCCCUGGGCUCAACCCAGGAAGUGCACUCGAAACUGACAGGCUUGAGUACGGAAGAGGGUCUCGGAAUUCCCGGUGUAGAGGUGAAAUUCGCGAUAUCGGGAGGAACACCAGUGCGAAGGCGGAGACCUGGGCCGAUACUGCGCUGAGGUGCGAAAGCGUGGGGAGCAACAGG
rnacentral:rRNA from 1 species